GUGCUCAGUUUGGCAGUACAUACACUAAAAUAGAAACAAUACAUAGAUUAGCAUGGCCCCUGUGGAAGGAUGACAUGCAAAUUUGUGAAGUGUUCAUAUUUUUA